rnacentral:rRNA from 1 species
GAUGAACGCUGACAGAAUGCUUAACACAUGCAAGUUUACUUGAACUUCGGUUUGGGUGGCGGACGGGUGAGUAACGCGUAAAGAACUUGCCUCACAGUUAGGGACAACAUUUGGAAACGAAUGCUAAUACCUGAUAUUAUGAUUUUAGGGCAUCCUAAGAUUAUGAAAGCUAUAUACGCUGUGAGAGAGCUUUGCGUCCCAUUAGCUAGUUGGAGAGGUAACGGCUCACCAAGGCGAUGAUGGGUAGCCGGCCUGAGAGGGUGAACGGCCACAAGGGGACUGAGACACGGCCCUUACUCCUACGGGAGGCAGCAGUGGGGAAUAUUGGACAAUGGACCAAAAGUCUGAUCCAGCAAUUCUGUGUGCACGAUGACGUUUUUCGGAAUGUAAAGUGCUUUCAGUUGGGAAGAAGAAAAUGACG